rnacentral:tRNA from 1 species
GUGGCUGGGGCUCAGGGGUAGAGUGCUCACCUAGCAUGCGUGAGGCACUGGGUUCCAUCCUCAGCACCACA